rnacentral:rRNA from 1 species
CAACUUUCAGCAAUGGAUCUCUUGGCUCUCGCAUUGAUGAAGAACGCAGCGAAAUGCGAUAAGUAAUGUGAAUUGCAGAAUUCAGUGAAUCAUCGAAUCUUUGAACGCACCUUGCGCUCCUUGGUAUUCUGAGGAGCAUGCCUGUUUGAGUGUCAUUA